AGAGAGGGGAGGUGUGGAACAGACACGGGAUGAACAAGGACUGACAGGGAGGAGACGGCAGCACGGACGAGGAGGGAGGAGGAAGCCGAGGCCAACCAAUCAGAGCAGGGCAUGACGUCAUCAGUGCAUCUGCCUCUGGCAAUUUAUUCGCCCGACUCUGGACGUUUGAAGACGUGACGUCUGAAACCAGAGCAGAAAAACACUGUUUUAGCCACUUGGACGGAAACACAGCAGCAGGACGAUAGAUUUCCACGACACUUUGGAGAAAGGAUGAUUAAUGGACCAG